UACGAAGGGUGCAAGCGUUACUCGGAAUUACUGGGCGUAAAGCGUGCGUAGGUGGUGAGUUAAGUCUGUCGUGAAAGCCCCGGGCUCAACCUGGGAAUGGCGAUGGAUACUGGCUCGCUAGAGUGCGGUAGAGGAGAGUGGAAUUCCCGGUGUAGCAGUGAAAUGCGUAGAGAUCGGGAGGAACAUCAGUUGCGAAGGCGGCUCUCUGGGCCUUACCUGACGCUGAGGAGCGAAAGCGUGGGGAGCGAACAGG
rnacentral:rRNA from 1 species